rnacentral:lncRNA from 1 species
GAAGUCCUCUGACCAGCAGCCUGAUCACCUGGAAAUUUGUUAGAAAUGUAGGUUCCUGGGCCUCCCGAGACUGACUGCUCAGAAGUUCUGGAGGUUAAGCCUGAGUUUGGUCUUCUGUUACUUGGAACUGAAAUAAUGUGCAUUGACACACCUAACAAGUCAAAGUAUUGUCUUUUGCUGGUCUGCUCUGGUCCUGGAAACAUCCACUGAUAGAAUCACUGGUCUGGGACAAAUUGUGGUACCCAAAGACCUCAGGAAGCACUUAGAAGCAUUACUCCUGAAGUCCCAUUCGUCCCAAGAAGAGUUGCUGGCUGGAGGAGACAAUAUGUAAACAUGUCAUGACAAGAUGGUGUGCCAUCAAGUCUGAGAUAAUCUGUUAUGGCAACGUAAGAAGCUAAUACAAGAUGCAGGAGUGAAGCAGCGAGGUCUGGAAAAAAGCUAUUGCAAAAAUACAGUCUCAGCAAGGGGAUAGAAGGAGCCCUGCAUUCUCUCCUGACACGCUUGACAAAAACAAACCCAACUAGAGGUCGCCAGCAACGGAGGGGCAUCCUGUGUAAGGACUUGGAAGAGGAGUUGUAUUGUCACCCCCUGGCCACUAGAGGACUUCAUCCUAUUUCAGUGGAGGAAGGCCUGUUAGGGGCCUCUCUAUACUGGUGGAGGUUUGGUCGUCUUCCCUUCACUUGAUUUCUGCCAGUGGCCUUAUGUGAGGAUGCUUCAUGAGAUGUCAAGUAUCCGAGGAGUCUGUGACACAACCAUCCAGUGGUGAAUUGCUAAGGAGCUCCUCUCCAGCCUGCUUGACUCUGAGGUUAAAAGAGUCUUCAUGUUGAGCACAAGUCAUCUCUUUGCACUUUCACCAGUUGUGUCCAUCUGAAAAACACAGAGGUCUGUCUCACUUCUGCAUCACAGUCCCUUCCAAGAAGCUCCACAAUGGUGAACAAGAAAGCAGAUAUCCUUGCUGACUGUUGGCAGCCGUUGUGGGACCACAAAGGCACCAGCCUCAGGAGAUGGGAAGACUGAGUUGCCAGGGACGUUGCUGAGCCAUUAGAGCCAUCCUUACCCACAAGCCCACCCCACCUUGGGACUUCCUCUUGGGCAAGUCUGUGAAUCUCCAUGUUGUUGAAUCCGUUUUGAAUUGGCUUUUCUUUUUCUUGAAGCUCAAGGCAUUUUAAUUGGCAUAACCUAGCCUAUAAAAGGAAGAUUAAUUUCCUUGACCGCAAGAAAGUGGAAUUCGAAUUAGAGGGAAUGAGAUAUUGAGAUAUCUCCCUCCAUAGCCAGAGCUGCCUUGCAGUGAGUGUCCGGCUUUGGAAGCACCCCUACUAAGGCUGGGCCAUUGCAAGGGGAUUCCUUUUUUCUUUUCUUGUCUUUUUUUUUUUUUUUUCUUUAGACAGUUUUAUUCUGUUGCCCGGGCUGGAGUGCAGUGGGGCAAUUUCAGCUUACUACAACCCCUGCCUCCUGGGUUCAACCGAUUCUUCUGCCUCAGCCUCCAGAGUAGCUGGGACUGCAGGCAUGCGCCACCACGCCCGGGUAAUUUUUGUAUUUUUAGAAGACACAGAAUUUCGCCAUGUUGGCCAGGCUGGUCUCCAACUCCUGACCUCAAAUGAUCCACCUGCCUCGGCCUCCCAAAGUGCUGGAAUUACAGGCAUGAGCCACCGCACCUGGGCUGCAAGGGGAUUUCUAAGGAGAAGGGGAGACGUGGCCACUGGCAACCACACCACCAUCAAGAACAUGUCACCUUCCCAUGUUUUCCAAGUCAUAAAAGUAGUACAUGUCCAUCACAGACAAAUGGGGAGUGCAGAAAAGCACAAAGAAUAAAACAGAGACAGCAGGGUUCAGGCUUCGAGUUGUGGUGCAAUUGGCCCACAUCCACCCCACCCUCUCUUCACGCAGCAGAUGACUGGGACAUAAAGAAGCUGAUGGGGCCACUGCCACCGAAUUUCCACCUGCAGCCCUUCUCGGGGGCCACCACCAUGCUCCUCAACAGCUGUCACUGACAGGACAGAGCUUGAGGAUCUUGAGGAGCUACUGACCCUGCAGAACCGCUCUGAGACCAGGGGGAGCUUUUCCAGGUGAAACGAUUCAUGGCUAGGCUGAUUUAACUAAUGGGUUUUUCAUCAGAGUAAUACAUAUUCAGAUAUGUCCCAUGCUCAGUGAUGGCAUCAAGCAAUGUCAGGAUUAGAUGGGAAAUUAGAGGCAAUUUGCUCCAAGUGUCUACUUGUGUACCCUCCACAGACGUAUCCAUGCAAUGGUCUUCUGUCUUCUAGGAAGCUCCCAAGUUCAUUUUUUAUUCAAAGCGAACCAGGAGAGUUCUGUCUACACUCAUUUCUAUGCAUAGAACUUGACGCUUUAAAAAGACAAUGCUGAAUUCUAGUUUCCCUGCCCCUACACCAGCCCAAUCCUCUGUUCUUAUUCCCAUCUGACGGUGUCACCCAGGGCACUAACCCAGUAGUACCAGGCACCGAAUAGGCAUCCAGUAGGUGUUGAAUGUCGUAUGUAGCGGACAAGGGCCACUUUGGAAAGUCAUGUUUCAUCGCUUCACUCCUCCCUGUGAGUCUGGGUGCUCUGAAGCCCCUCUCUCGAUCCCCCCAUGAGACACACAGAAUUUAGACCCUGUCAUCAAUGUUAAAGGUCAGCUAACAUGGUUUCCAAACCAAGCAUGUGUCACCAUGUAUCACUUGGGCUUGAACCCAGGUUGGCUGAAUUAUCCAUGCAUCUAGGCAACCACCUAUACAUCCAUUCAUGCAGCUCAUGGAAAUGUUUGGAGUGCAAGCACAGUUCCAGGUGUUGUGGCAGAUACAAAGAAUAUGAUAGAGGGCCUGGUCCUGGUGGAUCCAGGAUGUUGUGGGGGAGACUGUUCUAAUGAGCCAUCUCUGUGUUGAGUUAUGUGAUAAGAGCUGUGAUAGAGAUUCUGCAAAGAAUCCGGGCCUGGGCAUUCAGGCCUGGGAUCUGCACAAGUGGGUCCUCGUGCUGCCCUUAUUUAAGGCUCAAAAGGUACCACUCUCCCAGACAUCAAUACCACUUCACUGUCAAAUUUCCCUUCCCACAAUCCUGUCCUGUGGUGGUGUGCUGGAGAGGGAGCAUUACCUCCAGUGUCCCUUAACCAUACCUAAGAAUAUAACUACACAGGCAGAUCACGAGGUCAGGAGAUCGAGACCAUCCUGGCUAACAUGGUGAAACCCCAUCUGUACUAAAAAUACAAAAAAUUAGCCGGGCGUGGUGGCGGGUGCCUGUAGUUCCAGCUACUCAGGAGGCUGAGGCAGGAGAAUCACUUGAACCCAGGAGGCGG